rnacentral:rRNA from 2 species
AGUCGAGGGGUAGAGUUCUUCGGAACUUGAGACCGGCGCACGGGUGCGUAACGCGUAUGCAAUCUACCUUUUACAGAGGGAUAGCCCAGAGAAAUUUGGAUUAAUACCUCAUAGCAUAUAGACCUGGCAUCAGGAUUAUAUUAAAGUCACAACGGUAAAAGAUGAGCAUGCGUCCCAUUAGCUAGUUGGUAAGGUAACGGCUUACCAAGGCUACGAUGGGUAGGGGUCCUGAGAGGGAGAUCCCCCACACUGGUACUGAGACACGGACCAGACUCCUACGGGAGGCAGCAGUGAGGAAUAUUGGACAAUGGGCGCAAGCCUGAUCCAGCCAUGCCGCGUGCAGGAUGACGGUCCUAUGGAUUGUAAACUGCUUUUAUACAGGAAGAAACAUCCCUACGUGUAGGGACUUGACGGUACUGUAAGAAUAAGGAUCGGCUAACUCCGUGCCAGCAGCCGCGGUAAUACGGAGGAUCCAAGCGUUAUCCGGAAUCAUUGGGUUUAAAGGGUCCGUAGGCGGUUUAGUAAGUCAGUGGUGAAAGCCCAUCGCUCAACGGUGGAACGGCCAUUGAUACUGCUGAACUUGAAUUAUUAGGAAGUAACUAGAAUAUGUAGUGUAGCGGUGAAAUGCUUAGAGAUUACAUGGAAUACCAAUUGCGAAGGCAGGUUACUACUAAUUGAUUGACGCUGAUGG